GAUGUACGCAUUCAUUUUCAGGAAAUUAUGCCAUUCCUCUGGCCUGACCCCAACCCAGAGGGCUCCGCCAACCGAUUCCAUCCACUUCUGGGGGUCAGGCAGCCCUGAAAGGCGACUCACUUAACGACAGAGAUUCAUGCUACGCAUCUCACGCCACCACAACUGUGCUUCUCCAGGGGCGAAGUGGCGUGAUCAGAAGAUGUGAUGUUGGAUGAGCACAAAAGCCACAAGAAUGGCCCAGUAUUUGCAAGAAGUUCCAUUUGAAGAUUUGUUUCCUUUCCAAAAUAAAAACAGUGACUAGCGUGUGGAGAGCGUUGAUGGGAGGGGAGGGUCAUUUUUGGUAAAUGGCCAAAAAACAAACAAACGCUUGGCCAGUAGUAAGACAAGGUGUGCAUCUCCCCUCUGAGCAGAAAGCACCAAGGUAAACAGAGCCAAAUCCAUUGGGGGGGUGUGUUGCAUUCUGCCUCCUAAAAUCCCCCCUGUGGUUUCCACUGGCUAUGGGAUUAGUCUUCCCUUCCUGUUCUCUAGGGUUGUAUAGUUGUCAUGAACCCCACUUGGGUCACUGGUGGGAUUUCAAACCAUAAACAGCAUUAAUGCUUAAGCUCAAAGACUAAAUCCAACAACUGGAAACCGGGGCAGACUGUGUCUUUUAUGUGGACUAGUCACCGGAGGGUGACAAAAGCCCCGCAGCCUACAAGCACGGGGUUACGUAGCAUUGCGGCAUGCUGCUACACCGAGACUGUGUCUAAUUUGUGUAUCCGUUUGUCAUGUGUCCUGGGACCCUAUGGAAUGAAAGACUCUAUUGGCUGAGUAAGUUCUUACUGUCCUGGCUGCUGCUGGGUGAGAUGUGUAUUAAAAAUAUGAAUUUGA